rnacentral:rRNA from 1 species
UAGGAUAGGAUCGCUCCCGAUUAUGGUUGUUGGCGAGGUAAUGGCUCACCAAGCCUAUGAUCGGUACGGGCCGUGAGAGCGGGAGCCCGGAGAUGGGUACUGAGACAAGGACCCAGGCCUUACGAGGCGCAGCAGGCGCGAAACCUUUACAAUGCACGAAAGUGUGAUAAGGUUACCCGGAGUGCUAAGAGAAAACUUUUAGCUGUUGUGGGGAGUAGGUAUCCCCACCAGAAAGGAGAGGGCAAGGCUGGUGCCAGCCGCCGCGGUAAAACCAGCUCUUCAAGUGAUCGGGACUUUUAUUGGGCUUAAAGCGUCCGUAGCCGGGUUGGUAAGUUCCUGGUAAAAUCUGGCCGCUUAACGGUCAGCAGGCUAGGAAUACUGCCUUCCUUGAGGGUGGGAAAGGUCUGAGGUACUCUGGGGGUAGCGGUGAAAUGUGAUAAUCCUCAGGGGACCACCAGUGGCGAAGGCGUCAGACUGGAACACGCCUGACGGUGAGGGACGAAAGCUAGGGGAGCGAACGGGAUCAGAUACCCCGGUAGUCCUAGCUGUAAACGAUGUGCGUUAGGUGUCGGUGGGGCUAGGAGCCGCACCGGUGCCGUAGAGAAAUCGUUAAACGCACCGCCUGGGAAGUACGCUCGCAAGAGUGAAACUUAAAGGAAUUGGCGGGGGAGCACCACAAGGGGUGAAGCCUGCGGUUCAAUUGGACAACGCCGGGAAGCUUACCAGGGGCGACAGCAGUAUGAAGGUCAGGCUGACGACCUUACCAGACAAGCUGAGCGGAGGUGCAUGGCCGUCGCCAGUUCGUGCCGUGAGGUAUCCUGUUAAGUCAGGCAACGAACGAGACCCACACACUUAGUUACCAGCAACCGUCUUCGGAUGGGUUGGGAACGCUAGGUGAACCGCCGCCGUACAGACGGAGGAAGGGGUGGGCCACGGCAGGUCAGUAUGCCCCCAAUCCCCUGGGCCACACGCGGGCUGCAAUGGUGGGGACAAUGGGUUGCAACACCGAAAGGUGAAGCCAAUCUCGAAACCCCAUCUCAGUUGGGAUUGUCGGCUGCAACUCGCCGACAUGAACGUGGAAUCCCUAGUAAUCGUGUGUCAACAUCGCACGGUGAAUACGUCUCUGCUCCUUGCACACACCGCCCGUCGCUCCAUCCGAGUGUAGCGCAAUUGAAAACUAAUCCAUCGGGUAAGCUUGAGAUUGUGUUACGCGAGGAGGGAGAAGUCGUAACAAGGUA